rnacentral:snRNA from 14 species
UGGCUCAUUUUGGCAGCACAUAUACGAAAAUUGAAACCAUAUAGAAAAGAUUCACAUGGCCCCUGUGUGAUGAUGACAUACAAGCUCGUAAAGUAUUUCAUAUUUUA